UAUAGUGAUGAAGGCGUCGGGACACUAUAGAGGGGUGAUAGCCACCUGGAGGGCUGAGG
rnacentral:sRNA from 1 species